rnacentral:rRNA from 1 species
UAGGGAAUCUUCGGCAAUGGACGAAAGUCUGACCGAGCAACGCCGCGUGAGUGAAGAAGGUUUUCGGAUCGUAAAACUCUGUUGGUAGAGAAGAACGUUGGUGAGAGUGGAAAGCUCAUCAAGUGACGGUAACUACCCAGAAAGGGACGGCUAACUACGUGCCAGCAGCCGCGGUAAUACGUAGGUCCCGAGCGUUGUCCGGAUUUAUUGGGCGUAAAGCGAGCGCAGGUGGUUUAUUAAGCCUGGUGUAAAAGGCAGUGGCUCAACCAUUGUAUGCAUUGGAAACUGGUAGACUUGAGUGCAGGAGAGGAGAGUGGAAUUCCAUGUGUAGCGGUGAAAUGCGUAGAUAUAUGGAGGAACACCGGUGGCGAAAGCGGCUCUCUGGCCUGUAACUGACACUGAGGCUCGAAAGCGUGGGGAGCAAACAGGAUUAGAUACCCUGGUAGUCCACGCCGUAAACGAUGAGUGCUAGAUGUAGGGAGCUAUAAGUUCUCUGUAUCGCAGCUAACGCAAGUAAGCACUCCGCCUGGGGAGUACGACCGCA